UGUUGCAGACUGAUGGAUGGGGGAGUGUAGAACUAUCCAGAGAGGGCUCUACUUAUAAGAUUAUGCUCUCGCUCAGCUUUGGAGUUGGACUAGAGGUCAUGCACCAAAUAUUAAAGCUACAAUAAGAGAAGUCUCUGUAAACCAGAAAAUAUCCCAUAUGACCCGGAUGCCCAAAAUCUAAUCAGGAAUGAGGAAGCAUGUCUACCUGCUACUUUUUCAGAAUGAAACGUCUGCAGCCCGACACCCGACCCGAGCGGCAAAACGGAUAUCAACUGUAAUCCUUCAAGUGCAAUGGUAUGGCAAAACAGAUCAAGCAAAGAUGCCACUGGAUUUCCUGAAAUGUGAUGCCAUGAUAACAGAAGCAGCAAAUGAGCCAUGCCGAAUCGGUCUACUCAUUUCUGAGAAUAAUAUUUGGUACUUCGCUAUAAAUAUCAAACAAAGCCGAUGACCUAGAUCAUGUACUA